rnacentral:SRP_RNA from 1 species
GGAGGCUGGCGGCGGACGUGUCCAUCGCCAACCGGGUCAGGUCGGGAACGAAGCAGCCCUAACGAUAUCCGAUAUGGGUCGCUGUCCAGUCUCCGCU